rnacentral:rRNA from 1 species
AGAGUUUGAUCAUGGCUCAGAUUGAACGCUGGCGGCAGGCUUAACACAUGCAAGUCGAGCGGGGGAAGGUAGCUUGCUACUGGACCUAGCGGCGGACGGGUGAGUAAUGCUUAGGAAUCUGCCUAUUAGUGGGGGACAACAUCUCGAAAGGGAUGCUAAUACCGCAUACGUCCUACGGGAGAAAGCAGGGGAUCUUCGGACCUUGCGCUAAUAGAUGAGCCUAAGUCGGAUUAGCUAGUUGGUGGGGUAAAGGCCUACCAAGGCGACGAUCUGUAGCGGGUCUGAGAGGAUGAUCCGCCACACUGGGACUGAGACACGGCCCAGACUCCUACGGGAGGCAGCAGUGGGGAAUAUUGGACAAUGGGGGGAACCCUGAUCCAGCCAUGCCGCGUGUGUGAAGAAGGCCUUAUGGUUGUAAAGCACUUUAAGCGAGGAGGAGGCUACUUUAGUUAAUACCUAGAGAUAGUGGACGUUACUCGCAGAAUAAGCACCGGCUAACUCUGUGCCAGCAGCCGCGGUAAUACAGAGGGUGCGAGCGUUAAUCGGAUUUACUGGGCGUAAAGCGUGCGUAGGCGGCUUAUUAAGUCGGAUGUGAAAUCCCCGAGCUUAACUUGGGAAUUGCAUUCGAUACUGGUGAGCUAGAGUAUGGGAGAGGAUGGUAGAAUUCCAGGUGUAGCGGUGAAAUGCGUAGAGAUCUGGAGGAAUACCGAUGGCGAAGGCAGCCAUCUGGCCUAAUACUGACGCUGAGGUACGAAAGCAUGGGGAGCAAACAGGAUUAGAUACCCUGGUAGUCCAUGCCGUAAACGAUGUCUACUAGCCGUUGGGGCCUUUGAGGCUUUAGU